rnacentral:lncRNA from 1 species
UGGAAUGGGCAUGCAUUUGCUUGUCUGGUGGUUGUGCCUGUGUGGGUCUCACAGCCCUGCCUUGAAUCUGUGGCUCUUAUCGGGGACAAGAGGGUUGUUGCAUUAUGCUUCCUUCCAAGGCUCGAUGUCUUAUGGACCCAGGAAAGAGUUCAGGGCAUCCAGGGUGCCGCCCAUGGUCAGAGAAGGGGGCUGAGCAGCUGGGAGUUGACAGAGCAGAUACCAGGAGUCCCUCGGGAAUCCUAGGUUCUCAGGAUCAGUGAACCAACAGGGCCCCCCGGCCGUCACCUCCUCCUCAGUUGGGCUCACUCUGGAGCUCAAUGGCUGCCACCUUAAUAAGAAUAGUUUCCUGCCUGAACCGUGGCCCCAGCUGCUUUCCAAUCCUUAAUCCUGACCUUAAACAGGAGAAUAAAGGCCGGAGGAGCAGCUUCCAACCCUUGCGUCUGUCUGGCUGUGCUCCGGAGGUGUUCCCAUGUAGACUUUAUCCUGCCACUUUCCCAUGUGAAAGUCUCCCGUGUGAAGGUGGAGGCGGAGGUUAC